CAGCCGCCGCGGUAAUACAGAGGUCUCAAGCGUUGUUCGGAUUCAUUGGGCGUAAAGGGUGCGUAGGUGGCGAUGUAAGUCUGGUGUGAAAUCUCGGGGCUCAACCUCGAAAUUGCAUUGGAUACUGCGUUGCUUGAGGAUUGUAGAGGGGAGUGGAAUUCACGGUGUAGCAGUGAAAUGCGUAGAUAUGCGGAGGAACACCGAUGGCGAAGGCAAUCCCCUGGACCUGUACUGACGCUCAUGCACGAGAGCGUGGGGAGCAAACAGGAUUAGAUACCCCUGUAGUCCCUGUCUCUUAUAC
rnacentral:rRNA from 1 species